rnacentral:rRNA from 1 species
UACGAAGGGGGCUAGCGUUGCUCGGAAUCACUGGGCGUAAAGGGUGCGUAGGCGGGUCUUUAAGUCAGGGGUGAAAUCUUCGAGCUUAACUCGGAAACUGCCGUUGAUACUAUCUGUCUUGAAUGCUGUGGAGGUGAGCGGAGUAUGUCAUGUAGCGGUGAAAUGCUUAGAUAUGACAUAGAACACCAAUUGCGAAGGCAGCUCGCUACACAGUUAUUGACUCUGAGGCACGAAAGCGUGGGGAUCAAACAGG